GUUUUUCUUUAGCCCAGGUAAGACGUUUCUGACGCUGUUUGUUGUUCAGGAGCGGCUUGACAAGAGGAAUACGACAUCUGAAGCCCAUGUCCAGGAUCCGUCUGUGUGUGGUGGCUCUUGAUGCACUGACUCCAGCCUCAGUCCACUCCUUGUGAAAGUCCCCAACACUUUUGAAUGGCCUUUUCCUGACAAUCCUCUCCAGGCUGCGGUCAUCCCUGCUGCUUGUGCACCUUUUUCUUCCACAUUUUUCCCUUCCACAUAAACUUUCUAUUAAUGUGCUUUGAUACAGCACUUUGGGAACAUCCAACUUCCUUCGCAAUUACCUUUUGAGGCUUUCCCUCCUUAUGGAGGGUGUCAGUGAUGGUUUUCUGCACAACUGUCAGGUCAGCAGUCUUCCCCAUGAUUGUGAUUCCUACUGAACCAGACUGAGAGACCAUUUAAAGGCUCAGAAACCCUUUGCAGGUGUUAUGGCUUACUUAGCUGAUUAGAGUGGGACACUGUGAGC